UUGUCUCUUUGAUUUCAUAAUAGGUGGCUUCAAGAGAUUAUCAUUGAUUAUAUACAGCUUCAAAAAAAAAAAAAACUCAAACUUCGUGACUCAUUCUAAGCCAUCAAAUUAGACAUUUAAUGAAUGGGAAUAGUUGUGACCUUAUUGUACAAAAGAUAAAUAAUCUCAUUUUAAGCAAUCCCAAAAUAACAAAUUACAUACAUACUGCAGUUAAUAAAACCUUCUGCUAGAAAAAGCUUUCUUCUGAACCCCUUCCUGAAUAAUGCCACCUUGAGGACAAACAAUAUAAAAUUCCAUUCAAAACUCCUUUAACAGGAUACAGAGAGUUAACAAAAGAAAGUUCCAUGUUCUCACUGCUGACUAAGUGACACUUGAAGUGCUUGGACAAGAAGAAGAAUGUGAUAAAAAAAAACGCAUCUGAAAUGAAAAGAAAAAAAAAAAAAAAAAAUCUCAUUACCUUCUUUAAUAAGUAUUUCAUUUUAAAGUCAUCAGAGAUAGCUCACUUUUCUAGCUUUGAUUUGCUUGCAUCCACUCUACAUAAUUGUCCAAAUAUCAAAGGGCAAGCAAGGUCUGGCUCAUAAUUUUUAAAAUCUGGGAAACUGAUCUGCUUCAGAGAAGAUAGUAAUAUCACAUCAGUCCAAUUUAC
rnacentral:lncRNA from 1 species